rnacentral:rRNA from 1 species
AUUGAACGCUGGCGGCAGGCCUAACACAUGCAAGUCGAGCGGAGCGGCGGACGGGUGCGUAAUGCCUAGGAAUCUGCCUGGUAGUGGGGGAUAACGUCCGGAAACGGGAGCCAAUACCGCAUACUAUCAGAUGAGCCUCGGUCGGCUUAGCUAGUUGGUGAGGUAAAGGCCGACCAAGGCGAAGAUCCGUAACUGGUCUGAGAGGAUGAUCAGUCACACUGGAACGGAGACACGGUCCAGACUCCUAAGGGAGGCAGCAGUGGGGAAUAUUGGACAAUGGGCGAAAGCCUGAUCCAGCCAUGCCGCGUGAGUGAAGAAGGUCUUCGGAUUGUAAAGCACUUUAAGUUGGGAAGCGUUACCAACAGAAUAAGCACCGGCUAACUUCGUGCCAGCAGCCGCGGUAAUUC